GAUGAACGCUAGCUACAGGCUUAACACAUGCAAGUCGAGGGACGGGCGCACGGGUGAGUAACAGGUAACCAACCUGCUCUUGAGGCGGGGAUAGCCGUUCGAAAGAAAGAUUAAUAACCGAAAAAAAGGAGGGGGAUGCGUUCCAUUAGGUGGUUGGGGAGGUAACGGCCCACCAAGACGUCUAGGGAUAGGGGUGCUGGGAGGAGGGUCCCCGACAUUGGAACUCGGCCCCGUUCCAUACUCCUACGGGCGGCAGCAGUGAGGAAUCUUGGUCAAUGGGCGUUAGCCUGAACCAGCCCAUUAGCGUGAAGGAUGAUGGCUUAUGGGUCGUUAACUUCUUUUAUAUACGAAUAUGUAUUAUAUGAAUAAGGAUCGGCUAACUCCGUGCCAGCAGCCGCGGUAAUAC
rnacentral:rRNA from 1 species